UACGGAGGAUCCAAGCGUUAUCCGGAUUCAUUGGGUUUAAAGGGUCCGCAGGCUGUUUGUUAAGUCAGAGGUGAAAGCCUACCGCUCAACGGUAGAACUGCCUUUGAUACUGAAAGACUUGAGUUAUUGUGAAGUAGUUAGAAUGUGUGGUGUAGCGGUGAAAUGCAUAGAGAUCACACAGAAUACCGAUUGCGAAGGCAGAUUACUAACAAUAUACUGACGCUGAGGGACGAAAGCGUGGGUAGCGAACAGG
rnacentral:rRNA from 1 species